GACGAACGCUGGCGGCGUGCUUAACACAUGCAAGUCGAACGGUGAAGCGCCUUCCUUUUUGGUGGGUGUGGAUGAGUGGCGAACGGGUGAGUAACACGUGAGUAACCUGCCCCCUUCUUCUGGAUAACCGCAUGAAAGUGUGGCUAAUACGGGAUAUUCUGGGUCUGUCGCAUGAUGGGUCUGGGAAAGAUAUUGUUUCGGUGGGGGAUGGGCUCGCGGCCUAUCAGCUUGUUGGUGGGGUGAUGGCCUACCAAGGCGGUGACGGGUAGCCGGCCUGAGAGGGUGGACGGUCACACUGGGACUGAGACACGGCACAGACUCCUACGGGAGGCAGCAGGGGGGAAUAUUGCACAAUGGGCGCAAGCCUGAUGCAGCGACGCCGCGUGAGGGAUGGAGGCCUUCGGGUUGUGAACCUCUUUCGCCAGUGAAGCAUGCCUGCCUCGUUUGUGGGUGGGUUGACGGUAGCUGGAUAAGAAGCGCCGGCUAACUACGUG
rnacentral:rRNA from 1 species